UACGAAGGGGGCUAGCGUUGCUCGGAAUUACUGGGCGUAAAGGGCGUGUAGGCGGUCGGCCAAGUCUGAUGUGAAAGCCCGAGGCUCAGCCUCGGAAGUGCGUCGGAAACUAGUCGGCUGGAGCGCGAUAGAGGAGGGUGGAAUUCCUGGUGUAGCGGUGAAAUGCGUAGAUAUCAGGAGGAACACCGGCGGCGAAGGCGGCCCUCUGGAUCGUUGCUGACGCUGAGACGCGAAAGCGUGGGGAGCAAACAGG
rnacentral:rRNA from 1 species